GCAUUGGUGGUUCAGUGGUAGAAUUCUCCCCUUCCAUGAAGGAGACCUGGGUUUGAUUCUGGCCAAUGCA
rnacentral:tRNA from 1 species